rnacentral:rRNA from 1 species
GCAUAUCAAUAAGCGGAGGAAAAGAAACUAACAAGGAUUCCCUUAGUAACGGCGAGUGAAGAGGGAAGAGCUCAAAUUUUAAAUCUAUCAUGUUGUACAUGAUCGAGUUGUAAUUUGAAGAAGCGUUUUCUCGUACUUUAUGAUCAGUAUAAGUUCUCUUGGAACAGGACAUCAUAGAGGGUGAUAAUCCCGUCUGUUACUGAUUGUGAGGUUCGUUUAUGAUACGCUUUCAAAGAGUCGAGUUGUUUGGGAUUGCAGCUCCAAAUGGGUGGUAAACAUCACCUAAGGCUAAAUAUUUGCGAGAGACCGAUAGCGAACAAGUACCGUGAGGGAAAGAUGAAAAGAACUUUGAAAAGAGAGUUAAAAAGUAUGUGAAAUUGUUGAAAGGGAAACGAUUGAAGUCAGUCGUGCAGUCAUCAAUUCAGCGGUUAACAUUUUAUGUUUCCGUGUAAUUUGGUGUCUGUUGGUUAGCAUCAAUUUUGAUUGUUAUAAAAAGGUUAAGGGGAUGUGGCUCCUUCGGGAGUGUUAUAACCCUUAGCGUAAUGUGACGAUUAGGAUUGAGGUUUGCAACGAAUACCUUUUAGGGCAGUUUCACCUUGCCUCUCGUGGAAUUAUAGAUAGUUAAGAGCAUGCUCUUACUGUCUAUGAUUCUACGAAAAGGUUGGAGUGUAGAACUAAUUCGUUAAGGAUGUUGACGUA